UGGCUGGCUGUCCGCGCGGGGCUGAAGGGGCUUUCGUGCAGCCAGUAGGCCCUUGAGCACCGCAGCCCAGUCUGGCCUAGACAGGUCCUGUCUGCUGACAGUAAUAAGUGCUGCUCUCACUCUCUGUUCAAACAUCAAAGUUCCUAGUGAAUUACCCAGGCUGUCUCUGUCUCUAAUAGUCUGAGGGAUGACUCUGGGUCUCAGCUCACUUUUAAAAACAAAGACAAAUGGAAUACUCAGAGCCUGAUGAAUGCUCACCAUGCCCUUUUCUUCAUCAUCAGCUGAUACUUCCUGUGAAGCCAGCCACAGUGUCCAAGGAACACCUCAAGGAAUUAGAAAUAAAGACAAUGGAACCAGACACUAGCCAAAGGAAGAAAAAAAUAACAAGCAGAAACAGAAACUAGAAAAACUAUAGAUGAUAUUAAUCGAAGCGUACACAUCUUAGAGAAAAAUCUCUCUCUACAA